rnacentral:rRNA from 1 species
GAUGAACGCUGGCGGCGUGCCUAAUACAUGCAAGUCGAGCGAACAGACGAGGAGUUUGUUCCUCUGACGUUUUCCGCGCACGUGUGAGUAACACGUGGAUACUCUCUCUUAAAGACUGGUAAAACUUCGGGACACCGGAUCUAAUCCCGUAAAAGUUAUUGAUCCGUAUGGUUCAAUUGUAAAAUACGGUUUUAUCGUUACCUAUUGAAGGUUCCUCGCCGCAUUAGCUAGUUGGUAAGGUAACGGCUUACCAAGGCAACGAUGCGUAGCCGACCUGAGAGGGUGAUCGGCCACACUGGAACUGAGACACGGUCCAGACUCCUACGGGAGGCAGAAGUAGGGAAUCUUCCGCAAUGGGCGAAAGCCUGACGGAGAAACGCCGCGGGAGUGAUGAAGGUCUUCGGAUCGUAAAACUCUGUUAUUAGGGAAGAACAAAUGUGUAAGUAACUAUGCACGUCUUGACGGUACCUAAUCAGAAAGCCACGGCUAACUACGUG